GACUGAAAGUGAGUUUGCAGCAGCUGCAAGACGCAGGCAAGAUCCUGCCUACACUGCUGCCUCUCCCUCGCCUCAGCUGUCUUUCUAAUAACUUGAAGUUUUUCUGUUCAUAGAUCUUUGAACCACCAGCUCCAGGAGAAGGCAACUCCAGUCAGAACAGCAGAAAUAAGCGUGCCGUUCAGGGUCCAGAAGAAACAGUCACUCAAGACUGCUUGCAACUGAUUGCAGACAGUGAAACACCAACUAUACAAAAAGGCUCCCUUCUGUUGCCACAUUUGGGCCAAGGAAUGGAGAGAUUUCUUCGUCUGGAAACAUUUUGCCAAACUCUUCAGAUACUCUUUCCUCUCUGGGAAUCAAAGGAAAAUCUCUACUAGAUCUUACACAUUUGUUCCAUGGCUUCUCAGCUUUAAAAGGGGAAGUGCCCUAGAAGAAAAAGAGAAUAAAAUAUUGGUCAAAGAAACUGGUUACUUUUUUAUAUAUGGUCAGGUUUUAUAUACUGAUAAGACCUACGCCAUGGGACAUCUAAUUCAGAGGAAGAAGGUCCAUGUCUUUGGGGAUGAAUUGAGUCUGGUGACUUUGUUUCGAUGUAUUCAAAAUAUGCCUGAAACACUACCCAAUAAUUCCUGCUAUUCAGCUG
rnacentral:lncRNA from 1 species